AGGGUGUAAACGCUGCAGACUUGGUGUUGGAAGUCCUUUGGGGGCAUUCAGUGCCGGAGAGAAGUUGUUAAGUCUGCUACUUGGGGAGUACGUCCGCAAGGAUGAAACUUAAAGGAAUUGGCGGGGGAGGCACCGCAACGGGAGGAGCGUGCGGUUUAAUUGGAUUCAACACCGUAAAACUACACCAGGGAAGACUGUUACAUGAAAGCCGAGAUGAAGACUCUGCUAGAUUUUCUAGAGAGGAGGUGCAUGGCGUCAGUGACU
rnacentral:rRNA from 1 species